rnacentral:rRNA from 1 species
GAUGAACGCUAGCGGCAGGCUUAACACAUGCAAGUCGAGGGGCAGCAUUGAAGUAGUUUACUACUUUAGAUGGCGACCGGCGGACGGGUGCGUAACGCGUAUGCAACCUACCUUAAACAGGGGGAUAAUUUCGGGAAACUGGAUCUAAUACCCCAUAACAAUAGAUAAGGCAUCUUAUUUAUUUGAAAACUCCGGUGGUUUAAGAUGGGCAUGCGUUGUAUUAGAUUGUUGGUGAGGUAACGGCUCACCAAGUCUACGAUACAUAGGGGGACUGAGAGGUUUACCCCCCACACUGGUACUGAGACACGGACCAGACUCCUACGGGAGGCAGCAGUGAGGAAUAUUGGUCAAUGGACGCAAGUCUGAACCAGCCAUGCCGCGUGCAGGAAGACGGCUCUACGAGUUGUAAACUGCUUUUAUACUAGGGUAAACGUAUCUACGUGUAGAUAUUUGAAAGUAUAGUAUGAAUAAGGAUCGGCUAACUCCGUGCCAGCCGCCGCCGUAAAAC